GCGGGGAGGAAUUGGGCGUGCUACGCGGCGAAGAUUGAUGGUUCUGUACAGUAAUUGUGGAUUUUAGCUACGCCCGGAGACAAAACCAAACAAACAAAAUGCUCUAAUUAAUCGCAAUUCAAUAAUAGUGUUUUGUCGGCGGAUUAUCACAGAGUCACGAGUAGAAGUUAUUAGAAAUACCUUCAACAUUUUCAUCAAUCCUUCCAAUUGGAUCAUCAGCUGUCGUCGGGAAUCCUGCAGAGUAGUAAGAUGUGUCUCUAAUUCGUCUUUACGCAUGCGUAACGCUCGUAAUUCAUGCAUCAACGCUGGAUUUUCAACACCGUGACUCUCCAGCUCUUGUUGCCGGCGUAAACGUGCGAUUUCGCGCAUUAUCUCACGGUUUUUAGCUUCCAAUUGACCGAUAAGUUCGCGUUGCGCGCGAGUUGAGUCCAUACCCAGACACGUUUCAGAUGGAACUCUCCCCUGGACAAAACACAUUUUUUUAUUUAAUUAAUUAAUAGCUGUUGAAUAAAAAUAAAACAUUUAAGUUUUUCGUACUUACUGCGUCUGGAGAUAGGGAGUUUUUGCGCAGGCUGCCGCCGCCUCUCUGCGAAACAAGCAACGGCAAGAAGCACACUUAAGCGAAACGAAACAAGCGAGGAGAAUGUUCACAAAGAGUAAAGUACAUACAAAGAGAAUGAUUACAAUUACAUUGAUCCGGGCAGGUCACAAGCACGGCUAGCAUUAGCACGGCUUCCCGUCUAUUCUAUUUUCAUUUUUUUGCGACUGCUAUUGACUUUUGAGACGUUCUAGAAAUCUAUGUCUAGAGGAAUGUUAAAUGUAAAUAAAACAUGCCAAAAAACCUAAAUAAACUAUGAGAAAUGUAAAAAAUAAACUUGGAAA